GACGAACGCUGGCGGCGUGCUUAACACAUGCAAGUCGAACGGAAAGGCCCUGCUUGCAGGGUGCUCGAGUGGCGAACGGGUGAGUAACACGUGGGUGAUCUGCCCCUUACUUUGGGAUAAGCCUGGGAAACUGGGUCUAAUACUGGAUAGGACCAUGCUGUAGGUGGUGUGGUGGAAAGAUUAGUUUCGGUAAGGGAUGAGCUCGCGGCCUAUCAGCUUGUUGGUGGGGUAAUGGCCUACCAAGGCGUCGACGGGUAGCCGGCCUGAGAGGGUGGACGGCCACAUUGGGACUGAGAUACGGCCCAGACUCCUACGGGAGGCAGCAGUGGGGAAUAUUGCACAAUGGGCGCAAGCCUGAUGCAGCGACGCCGCGUGGGGGAUGACGGCUUUCGGGUUGUAAACUCCUUUCAGCCAUGACGAAGCCCUUGUGGUGACGGUAGUGGUAGAAGAAGCACCGGCUAACUACGUG
rnacentral:rRNA from 1 species